ensembl:lncRNA
GGGGGGGGGGGGGGGGCAACGGAUGGUGAGGCAUAAACACAACAGGGGCUCUGCUGCAAAAGAACAACUAGAAGCAGCAGCGUUUCCACGCUGUGGCCCUCGUAGGUGAGGCAGCCACACGUCGGAUGGGUCGACAGGUUAACAAGGGCUUGUAUGAAAACAAAGGAGAGUUUGUUCAUAGUUCAUAGUAAAACCGACAGAUCCUUUGGUCUAGGUCUGGCUGUUGGCGGUGUUAUCUCCUUCAUUGAGUGAGGCAGAGAAAUAUACAAAGUUACCUCUGUAAAGAAACAUUUAGCUCAAAUGUGUCAACAAAAUUAAACAAGAAUUUGUCAACAAAAUUACAUUUUUCACCGAUUCACCAUUUUACCAAAGAUUUAUGAAAAGCUGUUGGAGCUGGUUUGAACUGGUUUGAACUGGGGGCUGGACUGUCGUGCACAGUAGUAAUGCAUACUGCAUUCUACCACGCUCUUUCUCUGGGUGUGAGUCACGUGGACUUAUCGUACAGGUUGACAGGUUCUACCUCCACUAAGACAGCUAUUAUUCUUUUUAUUUGCUUUAUUUGUCACCAGACGCAGUCAAACAAAGAGCCGCUGGCCUAUCUGAGGCGUGGGGCUCCCCAUCCCUGCUUUUGGUACAAUGCAACCCAAUUUGUUUUUUGCAAUCGGUGGUACCUGCUGAUUUUAUCUUCAUAGACGCCUAGCGUGAAAAACGAAAUAUCUAGUUACGCCUGACCUGUCACAAUAUUUAGAGACAAUGCUGCAUUCAAAUUUGCAUGCGUGUUUGUGUUUAUGACAGCUCUCAUUUAAAACCGACAGUGAAGAGUUCUCAUGGAGGUUCUGCCCAGUGGGCCUCACAGCAGGGACUGUGACACCCGGCCCUCCCCUUUCUCGGGGUCCCUCCUACCAUAAAAUCCCAAUCGUUAUUAGCCGAAGGUAUGUGGCUCAAGUUACCAUCAGGCCUCCAGGACGGAGCCUUUAAAUAUAUCUGGUAAAAUGUGAACAAUGUGUUUAAUUAAACCAACGCCUGAGAGCGGAUGGAGCCGGGGUGGGAUACCAUUAGUCUCCCCCAUGGGGUCACAGCAGCAGGGGCCAGUAUACCUGGCCAACACCUUUCCCCGCGGUCCGUCCCUCGUAUCCCCUCUCCCGUCAACCAAAGGAGCAUUCACAAUGCCCACGGCCAAAAAAAGAAUGUCAUAUAUUUAUUUAGAACUAAAUAUGUGUGAUACGUCUCCCGUGUUAUGGGAAGAAUAAAAAGAACAUUUGACUGACCAAGCUUUCUCUGUUCAUCUCAAUGGACUACACAGUUUUGUAGCAUGCAGUUUUGCAAUUAAAUGCUUUCAUUAUUUUUAAGUCUCAUUACUGCAGUCAACCCUUUGCUGAUUUGGGCAGAAAGAAAACAACACAUUUUAUCUGGAAUAAAUAGUCACAGUGUCAUUUACAAAAAAAAAAGAAUAUUUAGGUUGAAUUGCAUUUUAAAAAGGGAACCAGACGGAAAGCCUCAUCUUUCGCUGGGUUGUGUUGCCCAGUGGGCCUCACAGCGGGGGCUACAAUACCGAGCCAGUCCCCUUUCCUGGGGGGGCCUCCUACCAUAAAAUCACAAUCAUUAUUUAUGGAUGCCCUCCAGCUAAAUUUACUAUCACAUUUCUGGUUAAAUAUACUGUAAAAUUCCCUGAGAACAAUAGAAGGGAGAUGAGUGGUGUGUGACGGCGCCAUUGUACCCCAAACCAUCCAAAGUGUGUUCCUCACCAGAUGUUAAUAGCACCUGGCCAAACCUCCCCCCCGGGCCUUUGGUACCACAUGAAUCCAUCCACAUUCUUUUUUUGUGCUCACGAUUGCUAUAGUGGAUGGUGUAAAUUGAAAUUAUACCGAUUACUUUGAGAUACUGCCAAACACCUCCAAAGAACACCUGCAAUUCAGUUUACGUAGAAUUCGUUCCUUUAGUAAUCAGUAAUCAGGGCUGAGCCCAAAGGGGGGUGUGCACUUGCAUGUCGCUACUUGCACCGGGCGUGUUGUGGCGUGACUGCGGCUCACGUGUGCCUGUGCGUGAAGCCUCCGCGUGGCCGCACCGUCCAUCCCUCACCUGUCGCCCUGCCUGCCGGUCUCCAGCAGUGGGAGAGGCACCACGCGCUGUGGAAUGCCUGCUGCCGUUUAAGCGCCAUUACUACCUGCUGCUGCCCCAUUCUCCCUGCCCUCUAUUGCCUGGGGUUCGUAUUGGAUAAGAGCCGUAAAGCUCCGCGUUUCAUGGGGCUGGGUUGGGUGUAAUUGGAGGGAGGCAGGCCCCUCAUUCCCAGCACGGCGGGGGGCUACAAUCACAGGCUUGCCCAAGCCUUUGGGCCGCCCCACCGGGAGCUAAAGAGGGUCUAAAGAGGGCACCGCGGGGGGACGAUAUCAAACACCCCCGGAGACUCGGGAUAACGCCAAACAACACUACAGGAGAGGAAACGCACACACACACACACACCGGCAGGACACACCAACACACUGUCUGUCAGCACUUGUUUAUUGCAGUGAAUGAGGCAUUGUGCUCAGUGCAGCGGCAUGAAAGGGUCGGGGGGGCAUUUAAACGCAAUUAAAUCUCCCAUCAAAUCAAUGAAAUCACAAUACAGCUUGUUUCAUAGAUAUUUCAAUAAAAUUGAAAAUCUCUUUUUUUCUCAGAAUCAAUUUCAUCACUUUAACUCAGGGGUCAUUUGAGGUUCGGGCCAGAUGCAGCCCACUUCGACCGAACACGGGCCAGACCAUUACAUUACGGGUCAUUUAUCCAAAGCGACUUACAUUGCAUUUUAACCCAUGGCUUUUCACAUUUUUGCCCCCCGGGAGCAAUUAGGGGUUGGGCGUCUUGCUCAGGGACACUUCAACAUUGGGCAGCCGGUACUCGAACCACAAAUCUUGCGGUUUCGCAGCGCACCCUCUCUACCCCUGCGCCACAACCCCCCAUUAAGUUUGAGGGGAGGCUCUUUUUGAGACUAAUAUUCUGCUGUCUUCCCCCUGAUUCCACCAUCCUGAUGGCUGUGGCUUCAUAUGUUUAGCAGACAAAUACGAGAGCAAGAUAAUACGCAUACCUCCCCCAAAAUGGCCACUCUUUAGCCAGUGAGUGUAGUCAAAAUGUGAGUGGAUUGACCACUGGGUGAUGAAAGAAGAACAGGCAUAGGCAUCAGAUCCAACACACACGCACAUGCGGCUCCACAGCGCAACUUUAGCCCAAACCUGUGCCCAACGUGCACACCCCCAGCGAUAACAAAGAUGUGUCGGCUAGCUCGUCAAUAGCAGGAACCGCGGCGCAAAACCAACAGCAAGCCGCGGCAGUAAUCUCUCUGUUGUGGGGGCCGAGGUGAGUGAAGACGUACUAAAGUAACAGAGCGCUAAUAACAACUGACACAAUAUACAGCAGGCAGUGUCAAUACGAGAGGGCAGGGUCCCCCCUGUGUACUUAGCAAAAGCUUGUGUGUGUGUGUGUGUGUGUGUGUGUGUGUGUGUGUGUGUGUGUGUGUGAGAGAAUGCAUGGGCACAUUUUUUAUCAUUACAUAUUUGCAACAUGUGAGGUUUUUAACUGUGUUUAGGUGUGUGUACAUUGGCAAGUGUUUAUUUUAAGGGAACUAGCGUGUGUGUGUGUGUCUGUGUGUGUAGAUGUGCGGAAGUUAGACAUUUGCUAUUUGUGUGUGUUUAGGAUAUGUGUGUACAGUACUUUAUACUACAUCCGGUAAGCAUCUGUACGUCCGUGUGUGUGUGUGUGUGUGUGUAGGUGCAGAUGGAUGCUGAUCCCUCUCGGAGCCGCAGGGUGACAGAACAAAGCUCAGCCCGGGGUUGUGCCGCGGGUCAUGUUGCGUUAGCGCCAACGGGCUGUUGAGUCACUGCGGUGUCACGAAACGGACAGUUUCAGGGUCGAGCGAAGGGCGAGAUGCCGGGACGACGCUCGUUGCACAGUCAGCUGACCUUUGACCUCACAGUGGACCAGAGCACGGAAGCCCCCUUUGGAUUUGACUGGGGGCCUUAAAUGUCUCAGCUUUUUCAUUGCAUGGCUAUUAUAUCAUGUGGCAUUUCAUAUCCACGGUUUAUACUGUUUACAUUGUACUACUACGUAUAGUAAGCAUAUGGGUAUUUUUUUAUUUAUUCAUCUCUUAUGGAUCCAGCACAUUGCACUUCACCGUCACUUUUUACUCUAGUUAAAUGCUAAGAUUGCAUUUUGUUCUCCACAUACUUGUACUCUUUGCAAUGAAAAUAAAGUUGAAUCUGAACCCUGACUGUUUUAAAACCAGGUCCUUGACUUGAAAAGUGGUAAAAUUCCAGAGGUGAGAAAGAGUAAAAAGGUCGUGCAAACAUGCCAAAUACUGCUGUAAUACUAAUGACUGCUGUUCUGGACGCAGGGCGCUCCGUGUGUUGCGGUCGGCUCCUAACAUUUCCUGAGCAGUGUGGCUCUUUGCUGUAGAAGCUAUGAGAUCACACCAGCUUCAUAAAACUUUUUGCCUCCACCCUUACUGCUUUCUGUCAUAGUCACUGUCCGGGUGGAACCUGUACUAAGUCGUUUAGCAGCACAGCAACAAUGUGGCCGUGACAAUAAGUCAAAUAGGACUCGGGAAUGGUCCAUGUUGAUGAAGUGGGAAUAACUGCGCAUCAUUCACGGCGACGUUUUAUAACCUACAUGAACUAAGAUAAAUAGAUGAAAGCGGGCUCGUCAUUUCCAACCGGCAAUUUUGUCUGUUGAGCACAUUUUAACAGCUGCAAACCAGCUAAUCAGGGGCCAUCCGUGUUCCCAGGGUUCAUUGUGAGGAACCCGGAACAUACUUGUACUGUGUGUAUGUAUCUAUCAAUGUAUCUUCUUGUUCUGUUUUGUAUUCAUCUUUUUUCUUUUAAAAAACCCUCCGGGUGUCGUAAAUUAGCAGUUUGCUACAAAUGCUAAACACAGUGCAUUUUUUGUGCAUUCUUGUGCAUAAUUGUAUGUCACAGUAAUGCCUGUGACAUAAGGGUGUAACGAUUCAUUUUAACAACGAUUCAAUUGGAAUCACGAUUCAUGGUUGCCGAUUUGAUUCAUGGACGAUCUGGGUUAAUUUAGAACGAUUCGAUUCGAUUCAGUGACUUGAAAUCGAUUCAGUAACUUUACUGGACAGUGCAGGCAAAGUUUCCGAGAUCCCUGUUGUUUCUUGUAAGGAAAUAAGGUUUCAAUUAAUUAUGGAUAUUAUAAACAAGCAAACAACAAUUAAUGGCAAAUGUAUUAACCUUUUAUUUGAAUCAAGUGCCAUUUUCAAUGUAAACAUUACACAAUAAUUACACAAUGUUUGGAUCAAUUCACAGAACCCCGGAUUUUCAACCACAUUGUAGGGUCGCAUGUCUUUACAGAUAAACUUGGCAAUUGUUACUAUGAUGUUGAGUUUCGUGCUGGCGAGGCCUGAGGUGUCUGCAGAGCUGGAGUUACCUGCUGCUGCUGCAGCGGUGACGCUGCUAGAGGUCCUGACUGUCGGCGUUGUUUAAUCCCACGGCGCCUUAGUAGAAACAGCGACCGACUUAUUUAGAACACCUCCGUGUUUUCAAAAGCCAAAAUGUUUCCACACGCUGGAUCGAUACGGUGGUUUGUAAAUGUCUCGCUUGGAUCGCAGGAAUAUAAAUCGAUUAAUCGAUUUAGUGAAUGAAUCGUUACACCCCUACUGUGACGUCAAUGGCAAAUAAAGAUUAGAUAAAAUAAAUAAGGGAGAUGAAAAGAAAUGAUAAAAAUGUUU